AGAGUUUGAUCAUGGCUCAGCCUGAACGCUGGCGGCGUGGCUAAGACAUGCAAGUCGCACGGGUGUAGCAAUACACCAGUGGCGCACGGGUGAGUAAUGUAUCGCUAAUGUACCCUGGACUCUGAGAUAGCUGCUCGAAAGGGCAGGUAAUAUCAGAUGAUAUGACCUGUAAGCAUUUACGGGUUCUCAAAGGUCCGCCGGUCUGGGAGCAGGCGAUAUCGUAUCAGGUAGUUGGUGGGGUAACGGCCCACCAAGCCGACGACGCGUAGCUGGUCUGAGAGGACGGCCAGCCACAUCGGAACUGAGACACUGUCCGGACUCCUACGGGGGGCUGCAGUAACGAAUCUUCCACAAUGUACGCAAGUAUGAUGGAGCGACGCCGCGUGUAGGAUGAAGUCCUUCGGGAUGUAAACUACUGUCAGGGGUAAGAAAGUUCUGAUCUACCCCAGAGGAAGAGACGGCUAACUCUGUGCCAGCCGCCGCGGUAAUAC
rnacentral:rRNA from 1 species